GGCUUAUUUCAAUUUACAAUUCAUUUUCAUUGCUAUUAUUUUGCUUACAUGUUCGUAUCCAGAAUAAACUAAAAAGUGUAGUUGAUUUCUAUUGGUUAAUCAGUAAGGAUCUUUUCUUCUCGGUAGUAAUCAAUAGUUGUUUAGAUUAAAAUAUUUUCGAGUGCACCUUUAUAUACAAGUUUGUAUCGAAGUUCGCGGUUGGUUAAAGUUGUUAUUUCUUCACCUGUAAUUAGUAUAUAAAGUAGAUAUUUUAUUAAUUCGGCCGCUUGAUCGUAUAAAGCCAAGGUCUGUAUAAGACAUAAUCGACAUUUGGUUUGAAUAAAACCGCCGUUGUUUAUCUUUAUUAUUAAGGGCUUACGGGUGUAUUAUACCCCGAUGUCUGAAUAAGACACUGCAACUUGGUUUGAAUAAAACCGAUAUGCUUUAUUUCUCAGGGUGAUUCUUC
rnacentral:lncRNA from 1 species